rnacentral:rRNA from 1 species
GAUGAACGCUGGCGGCGUGCCUAAUACAUGCAAGUCGAGCGAACAGACGAGGAACUUGCUCCUCUGACGUUAGCGGCGGACGGGUGAGUAACACGUGGAUAACCGACCUAUAAGACUGGGAUAACUUCGGGAAACCGGAGCUAACACCGGAUAAUAUAUUGAACCGCAUGGUUCAAUAGUGAAAGACGGUUUUGCUGUCACUUAUAGAUGGAUCCGCGCCGCAUUAGCUAGUUGGUAAGGUAACGGCUUACCAAGGCAACGAUGCGUAGCCGACCUGAGAGGGUGAUCGGCCACACUGGAACUGAGACACGGUCCAGACUCCUACGGGAGGCAGCAGUAGGGAAUCUUCCGCAAUGGGCGAAAGCUUGACGGAGCAACGCCGCGUGAGUGAUGAAGGUCUUCGGAUCGUAAAACUCUGUUAUUAGGGAAGAACAAAUGUGUAAGUAACUAUGCACGUCUUGACGGUACCUAAUCAGAAAGCAACGGCUAACUACGUG